CUUCAACCCGAACUGAAGGCCCACCCCUACUUCGUCGGUCCGGAUCUGGUGGCUCUGUCCAUCCCUCCGUCUCCGGAGCGGUCCCUAGGGAACGGCUCGGCCCCCCCCCACACCCCCUUGGUCCCGGAAACACAUCGGUGAAGAACGUCACUGGGGUCACUGCCCAUCCUGCCCGACUUCAGAGGGAUGACCUCCCCGGACUUCGUUUGGCUUCGGCGACCGGGCCUUUGUUUGGGCUGGAGGAAGCUGGAUUGGUGUGAAGUGAAAAGAUCUACAUUUCGUACGGAAAAAAAAAAAAGUCUCCAGAAGUGCCCCUGCCUCAACCAACCUGAGAUGGAAACCAACAAAUAGACAUUAUGAUAGAAAAUAAGGGCUCUGAGAAAUCAGCAACUGGAAGAUAACUCUGUAACUAAUAAAUGAAAAGAGCCUUUUGAUGGCUCCAGCUGAAAAGA